rnacentral:snoRNA from 1 species
AAGACUAUACUUUCAGGGAUCAUUUCUAUAGUUUGUUACUAGAAACAGCUUUGGUCUGAACUCAUCUUGUUCUCUGAGCCCACCAAAACUAGGCUACUGUCAUAAUGUCCUAGC